rnacentral:rRNA from 1 species
UACGGAGGAUGCGAGCGUUAUCCGGAUUUAUUGGGUUUAAAGGGUGCGUAGGCGGGCUGUUAAGUCAGCGGUCAAAUGUCGGGGCUCAACCCCGGCCUGCCGUUGAAACUGGCGGCCUCGAGUGGGCGAGAAGUAUGCGGAAUGCGUGGUGUAGCGGUGGAAUGCGUAGAUAUAUGGAAGAACACCAGUGGCGAAAGCGGCUCUCUGGUCUGUAACUGACGCUGAGGUUCGAAAGCGUGGGUAGCAAACAGG